rnacentral:rRNA from 1 species
GUGCCAGCCGCCGCGGUAAUACGGAGGAUGCAAGCGUUAUCCGGAAUUAUUGGGCGUAAAGCGUCUGUAGGUGGUCGCGUAAGUCUGUUGUUAAAGCUCAGGGCUUAACCCUGAAUCAGCAGUGGAAACUACGUAACUUGAGAACAGUAGGGGCAGAGGGAAUUCCUAGUGUAGCGGUGAAAUGCGUAGAUAUUAGGAAGAACACCGGUGGCGAAAGCGCUCUGCUGGGCUGUAUCUGACACUGAGAGACGAAAGCUAGGGGAGCGAAAGGGAUUAGAUACCCCCGUAGUCC